rnacentral:rRNA from 1 species
UACGAAGGGGGCUAGCGUUGUUCGGAAUUACUGGGCGUAAAGCGCACGUAGGCGGGUAUUUAAGUCAGGGGUGAAAUCCCAGAGCUCAACUCUGGAACUGCCUUUGAUACUGGGUACCUAGAGUAUGGAGGAGGUGAGUGGAAUUCCGAGUGUAGAGGUGAAAUUCGUAGAUAUUCGGAGGAACACCAGUGGCGAAGGCGGCUACCUGGCCUGUUCGUUGACGCUGGAGGCGACGAAAGCUAGGGGAGCAAACGGG